UGGGGAAUAUUGCACAAUGGGCGCAAGCCUGAUGCAGCCAUGCCGCGUGUAUGAAGAAGGCCUUCGGGUUGUAAAGUACUUUCAGUCGGGAGGAAGGUGGUAAGGUUAAUAACCUUGGCACUUGACGUUACCGACAGAAGAAGCACCGGCUAACUCCGUGCCAGCAGCCGCGGUAAUACGGAGGGUGCAAGCGUUAAUCGGAAUUACUGGGCGUAAAGCGCACGCAGGCGGUUGAUUGAGUCAGAUGUGAAAUCCCCGGGCUUAACCCGGGAAUUGCAUCUGAUACUGGUCAGCUAGAGUCUUGUAGAGGGGGGUAGAAUUCCAUGUGUAGCGGUGAAAUGCGUAGAGAUGUGGAGGAAUACCGGUGGCGAAGGCGGCCCCCUGGACAAAGACUGACGCUCAGGUGCGAAAGCGUGGGGAGCAAACAGG
rnacentral:rRNA from 1 species